ACCCCUCCAAAACCCCCCAAGCAAAGGUAGAUAAAGAAAGAUGAUUUAUGAGUGCAUUGAAAAUUUUAUCCUUUCCAAUGUGGGACAAACUUUUAGGGUCCUUUGGAGGGAAGAAAAAUUUUGAGUUUUUCCUCCAAAACUCUAACAUGAUCCGGAUACGAAAGUUCCUUCUCUUUCUCCAUUUUGCAUGAGUUUUUCCAAUUCAAAUUACAUUGACUGUCCAGCCUAUGCUUUCAUGAAACUUGUUCCCUGAGUGCCAUUGUCUUAGAGUAAUUCAUAAUCUUCUCCUUUAUCUAAAUGACAAACUUUCAUGCCCCCGAUCCG
rnacentral:lncRNA from 1 species